rnacentral:lncRNA from 1 species
GACUCUGAAAACAAGUUUGGCUAGUUCUUUCUGUUCAAGAAUGAAUGACUUCACAGCUGUGCUUUUUGGCAGUGAACAUGAACUCACAUCUGUCAGUGCUGUCAGCCAUGGAGCCCUCUCCUGUCCCAUCCUGAGCUGAUAUCCAGCACUGUCUGUGGUUUACCCCACCCAAGAUCACACAGUUGGCAACUGUCUGAACCUAGUUUCAAACCCUGAGUCAGCUCAAUUCCAAAGGUCCAGUGAUUUCCAGACAACUAAAUAAUGCACCAUUUAAAAUUCUUCAGUAAGAACUUGUAGUCAGUGCUUUUAGUCUAUACAGGAUAUCAGUUUGUUCCAGGCAGCACUAAUGUGCAUAACAAUAUUUUGUUUUUCGUUUUUUAAAUUCCUCACCCCAACAGUGCUUUUGCGCUGGUCUGACAUUACCUGGAAAACUACGCCACCAGUCGCUUCAGUGGACACUACCAUUUCAAUUGCGAAGUCAGGCAAUGAUUGUCCUAAGGCAAGGUGGGAGAGAAGUCAGAGUAAACCACCUCGAGAGCGCCGGUCUCCCGGAGUGUCUGGGGUCGACU